rnacentral:rRNA from 1 species
AAAUAAAGACCCGUAUGAACGGCUAAAUGAAUAUUUAACUGUCCCCUAAGACCAAUCAGUGAAACUGAUCUUGCAGUACAAAAGCUGUAAUAAACACAUAAGACGAGAAGACCCUGUGGAGCUUUAAAUCCUAGCCAAGAUGCGUAUAAAAACACACCAAUGGUAAACAAUUUUAAGUUGGGGCGACUUUGGAGUAAAACAAAACCUCCAAAAGGCACUGCCAAACAAGGCUUACACGCCAAAACCCACAUAGACCCAGUACUACUGAGCAAUGAACCAAGUUACCCCAGGGAUAACAGCGCUAUCUUCUUCAAGAGUUCAUAUCGACAAGAAGGUUUACGACCUCGAUGUUGGAUCAGGACACCCAAAUGGUGCAGCCGCUAUUAAAGGUUCGUUUGUUCAACGAUUAAUAGU